AGUCGAGCGAACAGAUAAGGAGCUUGCUCCUUUGAAGUUAGCGGCGGACGGGUGAGUAACACGUGGGUAACCUACCUAUAAGACUGGAAUAACUUCGGGAAACCGGAGCUAAUGCCGGAUAACAUAUAGAACCGCAUGGUUCUAUAGUGAAAGAUGGUUUUGCUAUCACUUAUAGAUGGACCCGCGCCGUAUUAGCUAGUUGGUAAGGUAAAGGCUUACCAAGGCGACGAUACGUAGCCGACCUGAGAGGGUGAUCGGCCACACUGGAACUGAGACACGGUCCAGACUCCUACGGGAGGCAGCAGUAGGGAAUCUUCCGCAAUGGGCGAAAGCCUGACGGAGCAACGCCGCGUGAGUGAUGAAGGUUUUCGGAUCGUAAAACUCUGUUAUUAGGGAAGAACAAAUGCGUAAGUAACUGUGCGCAUCUUGACGGUACCUAAUCAGAAAGCCACGGCUAACUACGUGCCAGCAGCCGCGGUAAUACGUAGGUGGCAAGCGUUAUCCGGAAUUAUUGGGCGUAAAGCGCGCGUAGGCGGUUUCUUAAGUCUGAUGUGAAAGCCCACGGCUCAACCGUGGAGGGUCAUUGGAAACUGGGAAACUUGAGUGCAGAAGAGGAAAGUGGAAUUCCAUGUGUAGCGGUGAAAUGCGCAGAGAUAUGGAGGAACACCAGUGGCGAAGGCGACUUUCUGGUCUGUAACUGACGCUGAUGUGCGAAAGCGUGGGGAUCAAACAGGAUUAGAUACCCUGGUAGUCCACGCCGUAAACGAUGAGUGCUAAGUGUUAGGGGGUUUCCGCCCCUU
rnacentral:rRNA from 1 species